GUGAGGAAUUUUCCGCAAUGGGCGAAAGCCUGACGGAGCAAUGCCGCGUGAAGGAUGAAGGCCUAUGGGUUGUAAACUUCUUUUCUCAGAAAAGAAUUAUGACGGUAUCUGAGGAAUAAGCAUCGGCUAACUCUGUGCCAGCAGCCGCGGUAAGACAGAGGAUGCAAGCGUUAUCCGGAAUGAUUGGGCGUAAAGCGUCUGUAGGUUGUUUAAAAAGUAUUCUGUCAAAGAUUAGGGCUUAACCCUAGAUAGGCAGAAUAAACUUUUAAGCUAGAGUGUGGGAGAGGCAGAGGGAAUUCCCGGUGGAGCGGUGAAAUGCGUAGAUAUCGGGAGGAACACCAAAGGCGAAGGCACUCUGCUGGGCCAAUACUAACACUGAGAGACGAAAGCGAGGGGAGCAAAUGGGAUUAGAAACCCCGGUAGUCC
rnacentral:rRNA from 1 species